GACGAACGCUGGCGGCGCGCUUUAUACAUGCAAGUCGAACGUGAAGCUCGGAGCUUGCUCCGGGUGGAAAGUGGCGAACGGGUGAGUGUCACGUGAGAAACCUGCCCCGAAGACCGGGAUAACACCGGGAAACCGGUGCUAAUACCGGAUGCCCUCACCGGAUCGCAUGGUCUGGUGAGGAAAUGGAUUCCGCUUCGGGAUGGUCUCGCGGCCUAUCAGCUUGUUGGUGGGGUAAUGGCCCACCAAGGCUUCGACGGGUAGCUGGUCUGAGAGGAUGUCCAGCCACACUGGGACUGAGACACGGCCCAGACUCCUACGGGAGGCAGCAGUAGGGAAUCUUGCACAAUGGACGAAAGUCUGAUGCAGCGACGCCGCGUGUUGGAUGACUGCCCUCGGGUU
rnacentral:rRNA from 1 species